CAUCAGUCAAGUUGGAGACGUUCAGACGUGGAGCAUUCAGUGAACGGAGGCAGAAUGAUCCACGUGGACGAGCUGCUGCUGUCAUGAUGGAUCAGAGGUCUGGUUCUGGUCCAAUCAGAGCUGCUGCUGUCAUGAUGGAUCGGAGGUCUGGUUCUGGUCCAAUCAGAGCUGCUGCUGUCAUGAUGGAUCAGAGGUCUGGUUCUGGUCCAAUCAGAGCUGCUGCUGCCAUGAUGGAUCAGAGGUCUGGUUCUGGUCCAAUCAGAGCUGCUGCUGCCAUGAUGGAUCAGAGGUCUGGUUCUGGUCCAAUCAGAGCUGCUGCUGUCAUGAUGGAUCAGAGGUCUGGUUCUGAUCCAAUCAGAGCUGCUGCUGGACCUUUGAGGACUAAACUGGAUUUAUCUUCAUGAUGUGAUCAAACCCAGUAAAAUGUGUUUCAUUAAACUCUCUCUGGGCUCCAAGGCUUCAGCUGACAUGUUUCCAGGACACUUUG